GCACCAUCGGCACCAGACCACAGUGCCCGGUUCUACCCUCCUCACCCAUUUCUCUUUCUCAUCCCUUUGUUAGAACCAUUUGGAUUAAAGCAAUCAAAACCAGGAGUCAACUGAAAGCCAAACUUUGUCAGAUGGUGACAGCCAUGUUAAAUUACUCAUGCGUCUGCCUCGUUUUGACACAUGACUAGACUGGGAGGCACGCAUACGCCCCACCCUGCCUGGCCUUAACACUGGGAAUCAGCCAGGCUGAGAGAAAAAUGCAUGAAGUGAUGGACCAUGGAGAGGUAAGGCAGGGGGGUAGGUGAGGGUUCUGUUGCCCUCAGCCAUGCUCCUCUUCUUGAAGUGAACAUUAGGUCACUUCCUCCCCCUCCACGCCCACAUGCCUAAUCUGUGAAGGGAACAGACUGGCGACUAAACAAACAUGACCACCACUGUCAAGUUUUACCCUGCAUUGGACCCAGCUGCAGCCAAUGUCAUUGACGUCGUCGUGGGUCAGAGGGUGACACAGGCGCCUGCAUCACCUAUGAAUUUUACCCACCGCCUGUGGUUAAAGAUCAAACCUAGAUGAUUGAGAUAUCCACUUCUGUGAGGUCCUCGGACAAUUCCCUCACGAGGAACGUUGGCACAAGUGGCAGCCACGGUGAAGCGCAGCAAGGCAGAUGUAUUCACAGUGAAGGACAGUUGUUAGGAUUUGUAUGGAUGCAAAAAUUCAGUCUUGAACAAAUCUAUUUUGCUUUGAUAAAAUGGCCGCUGGUCUUCCACCAAUAGGCUGACCUAAUCAUGCCCUUGGGCUCAUCUACACCAAGCAGGAUAUUCCACUAUGAAAGCGGUAUAUAAAAGGCAGGAGCCACACUACUUCUUUAUAGAUGUACUGAAGUGCACUGACAACUGUUGGGGCCCAUGACACAGACCAUAUUCCGCUUUCAUACCUCUUUUAGAGUGUUACAUCCUACUUGGUGUAGAUGUUUCCUGGGCCCCAACAGUUGUCGGUGCACUUCAGUACCACUAUAAAGCAGUAGUGUAGAUCCUGCCCUUAUAUACCACUUUCAUACCACUUUCAUAGUGGAAUACCCUGCUUGGUGUAGAUGAGCCCUUUGUCACAACCAUCACCUUUUUAUUCAGCUUUCUAGUACCUUCUUUACUACAGUGUGUAGUGUCUUUAUUGCCCCCUCUGGUAGCCUGAGAGAACGCAUCCUUGACUAUUUCUAUAUAUUACAGUCUCUGGAAAUGGUUACUACCAACAUGCAGCGCACAUGGGCGAGGGUGACAAGUUCCUGCACAAGAGUAAUAUCCAUUAUUUUUCAUUAAAAGACUGAAGACAUUCCAUGACUCAUCUCUGACCUGGUUCACAUGACACGACAUCCUACCAUGGGUAAACGUCCAUGGUGGGGUGUCAUCAGUGGAGCGUGGAGGCUCCGAUGCCAGUGGGGAGAUGAGUUUGCUCCGGCUUCCAGUCAAAACCAGUCAGGACUCUAAAGGAGCACCCCGGAUAGCUCCUUUAGAGAUCUGACUGGUUCUGACUGAAUCCCAGAGUGGAUUUACCACCCCACUGACAUCAGAGCCACCAGCCUCCACCAAUUGUUGGGACGUCUGACCCCAGCAUGGUUCCCACAGGGUGGAUCACAUUUUUAUAAAUCUUCAAAAAACAAAACAAAAUCAGUUAAAGCUGCAGGAGCCCUGCCCUCUUGACCAGAUACAAAAGCAGGCAGGUCUCCUGCAGUUUUAACUGUUCUGAUGCAGAGGGAAUUUCACCAGGUGCUGCAUGCAUACAAAGGACACCUGCUGAAAUUCCUUUUUCUAUUCUCUUUUAAAGAUGCCAGAGCCCAGUCCUCCUCUCCAAAGUAUUACAUUCUAUUUUUACAUCAGCUUUGGCAAGCAGUUAUUUUGCUCUAACAUAUAGAGAGCGUAGAAACAAUUGCACAGCAUGAAAAGGGGGCGGGAGAAAUGUUCACUGUGUGCUUCACAACUCAGGUAACACACAUGGCUAUCUAACGCCCCCACCCGGGUAAGACAACUAAGUCCAGGGUCUAAAAUCGCCCAGUUGAACCACCGCUGCAAAGGCAGUGUGACCUCUGGCUAGGGGGCAAUUUCCAGGCACACAGCAGGAGGGUAAUGAGUCAUAAACAGCCUUAUUGCUUUCCCCUCUUCUACUCCCAAAGAAGUAGCUUGAGGGCCAAAUCCCAUUUCAGGGGAGCUCUUGGAGGCUGCAGACAAAAGGGAUGGAGCCAGCAUACCAAAGAGGCCAACAUAUUUUAGCUUAAAGUUCUUGCAGCAGUGAUUAAACUUUGGGAGGGGGACAUCAAACUUUAGAAUGGGGGGAAACAUUGCAAAAUCUGGGAAAGGGUGUAA